CACCCAUUGUGGACCAACACCGGAGUCCAGAAGUGCACUACAGAAGAUCCAUAUACAUGGGGAUCUAAGGAUCAAGGCAAGCCAUCCUGCUAGCCUCAAAACGGCAACAAGAUCAUACUCCCAUUGAUUUCUAUGGCAUCCGCAGGCUCAAGGGUGGCAGAUUGAAAACUAGUUUCAUAGAGUUGAACAAUAUUAGGAUGUUUAAUCAUCUGAUGGAUGCGGGGCUCCCUCUUCAUGUUCUUCAAAACGAAUUCUCCUUUGAAGACAGUGGCAUAACCAAAAGAGAUUCUUGAGAAUGAUCCAAUUCCAACAAAUGUGAUGCUUCCAAAGUACUAGUCCCAAAACUAACAGAAGUUGCCUCUGCCUCAUCUACAGUACUUGGUCACCAAUUGAUUUGACAAGGGACUGAAAACUGUUUUUAAGCUCCAGACUUCCACUUCCAGGCAUCACAUCUUAACUUUUGCCUUUGGAAACUCUUUGCUGCUUAGUAGCUACACUUUUACCUUUUUUUUUACUGAACUUGCCAGUCACAUUCUUUAUCCUCUUCUUCAGGUUUUAGGACAAUAGGAUCUGAAGAACUCACAUCUUACCUCAUUUAUCCAAAAUCACAAUGUUACAUUAGUGUGUCAUCUAAAGGGCGAGGAACAUUUACCUCAUUUACUCCAAAUCUUGCCACAUUCAUGAUGCCUAGUGUGUUGCCUUCAACCUGUAAUAAGUCUAGAUCACUAAAGGAAUUUUACUCUUCAUGGUUCUGAUUAUGCUGAGCCUCUGGACACUUAAUAUACAAAUGACCGAGCUUACAGCACAAAUUGCAAACAAUGGUAUUGAUGCAUUCACUUCUUGGAUGACCAAAUUCCUUAUAGUUACUGCAUCUGAUUUUAUCACAGGUUGAAGAAAAAUGUCCUCUGAAACCACACUUAAAACAUUUUGGGCUAGAUUACCAGUGGAGCGCUAUAUAUCUUUCAUGA